GAUGAACGCUGGCGGCGUGCCUAAUACAUGCAAGUCGAGCGAACAGACGAGGAGCUUGCUCCUCUGACGUUAGCGGCGGACGGGUGAGUAACACGUGGAUAACCUACCUAUAAGACUGGGAUAACUUCGGGAAACCGGAGCUAAUACCGGAUAACAUGUUGAACCGCAUGGUUCAACAGUGAAAGACGGUCUUGCUGUCACUUAUAGAUGGAUCCGCGCCGCAUUAGCUAGUUGGUAAGGUAACGGCUUACCAAGGCAACGAUGCGUAGCCGACCUGAGAGGGUGAUCGGCCACACGGGAACUGAGACACGGUCCAGACUCCAACGGGAGGCAGCAGUAGGAAAUCUUCCGCAAUGGGCGAAAGCCUGACGGAGCAACGCCGCGUGAGUGAAGAAGGUCUUCGGAUCGUAAAACUCUGUUAUUAGGGAAGAACAAAUGUGUAAGUAACUAUGCACGUCUUGACGGUACCUAAUCAGAAAGCCACGGCUAACUACGUG
rnacentral:rRNA from 1 species